UUUGCCGUGCAUUAAAGAUCCUCAAGGUGAGUGUUAUUUCGAUUAGAAUUCUAGGUCAAUUAGUCAUGAUGACAUUACUUUAGACUAGAGUCUCUGAUUGAUGGUUGAAGAUGAUCAUAAGUGCUGAUAGCAUUCCGAGUCUACCAUUUUUCACCUGUCCCGGAACCAUGCUGAUAAAUCUGACAUUUUUUGCAGCUUCUUCACACUCAAGGAAUCGUAUCCAUCAGUGCACGAUACUCGUCCAAGGCAUUCAACCAUUCGACUUCGACAGCCUUUGGCAUUUAAGAUCCUCGCAAGCAGAGGCAUUCAACCAUUCGACUUCGACAUCCUUUGGCAUUUAAGAUCCUCGCAAGCAGAGUAUCAUUGAAAAUCCUGGAUGAUUGGACGGACCUUAAUCAAAAUCAUUCUACGAAACUCGAGUGAUAGUUCUUCAGACUGGAAGGAAACAAGAUUGAUGGUACAUCGGACUCUUCGGAUCCUGGCAUAAUGACUGGUUCCAUGUGAUAUGAAUUCCACUAAAUAGAAAAGUGUUGAAAUUGAGUCCAGUUGCUGCCGUUAAAUUGAUCGACACUGAACACCAAAGAGAGGUUUCUCGGAUUUUUGCCGUCUAGUGGACUCCCCUUUUUCGAGCAAUUGUCACAACAUGAACCGCUCGCCCUCUUGGAAGCUAAUUCGGAACGAUGAAGAGGCAUUUUGAAUGAAGUAAUGCUGACCGGUGACUUAAAGCCCUUUAUUUUGGGAAGUUUUAAAUGGCCCAUCGGCAUGGUGACAUUACAUCCCCAUCAAAAGGAAAUUUAGAGGACAAGGUUCACAUUUGUCAAUUGGGAAGCUCUCCAGCAAACAGUGACGGAAAAUAUCCUAGGUUGGGUUAUUCUUCAGGAGAAAUAGAAAUUUGCGACCUGUGAAAAUAUCAAUGUGAACGGUGAGAAAGACUUCCGUUUUCAAGUCACUACUUGUUAGAUGAUGAAAAUCCGCGUGCGCAUUCCUGAGUACUCUGAUGUUUACGUGUCCAUUUCAGUGUAGCCCUGAUUUUUUUCAACCACUGACCUGUACGUUAACUUCAUUUUGACAAUUAUUUUAAAAAAACAGUAUCUCUAUUUCAGAGGAGUGUUCAAUCGUUUUGUUCCGCAAGUGCAUCCGAUCUCGUAAAUGUCUAGGUAAGAAAAGAAAUAUGUUUAGCGUAUCUGUGUCUUAGAGGGGCGGUUUCUUUUACCACCAUGCAACUGACUCCGAUUAAACACAGGAAAUCAAAUUCCAAAGUGCGUUAACCGUAUUGAGAAACUCUUACUAUGGCUUUCUCAACCCCGUAACGUUUCUUACAUUUCAUCAUGAUCCUAGAGUUGUUUCAAGUUCCAUGUUGACGACACUUUUUGACUUUAUUUUUCUUCUUCCAGCAUUCUGCCAUCCUUCUUGAAUAUCCCUCGUUAUGAAGGUAAGAAAUGGUAGACUAACACUUUGUUUCAGCCUCUUAUUUGCCAAGGUGUGAUCUUAAUCAUCUGAUCGCAACUUUUUUCCAUGGGGCUUAAAACAAUUUGAAGGAUAAUUAGCAAGUCUUGCUUAUCAAUGCAUUCACUUGUCAGUCUUCUCACUACAAACGUAAAAAUUAUCCUCUAUUCGUCCUCAGGACGUUACUGCGCUUAGAGUCAUGAAUUUUACUUUCUUUUACAGGUAAGCGAACCAACGGCCGGCGAAAUUUUACUCUGCUCAAUGUUGGCUGUUCAUGGAAAAUAAACUUUUUACCCUAAAAUAUUGUUGCUCGUUCAUUUCAUGUCAGGAAAUAGAGGCGUAAGAUCCUGUAUUUGUCACUCGGUCUGGUCGAACAUAGCUGUGUCGCCAUCGUGUUGAAAGGAAUCAAAACUGCCAGUACGUCCGUGGUCAGUUUAGGUGCAAGCAUCUUGUCUCGAUAAGAAAGCCACAAAACGAAGUCAUAUUCGUGCCGUUAUAUUAUAAUUAAUCCUUCGGUAUAUGUCGAUAGGAAAAAACGGGUUUUUGUUUUCCGAGCAUUAUUUUCAUAGGUUUGUUAUUUUUCAUCGUUCUCUUGCUCUUUGUGCAAGCGUUCGCUUCCCUCUUCACGGUGGUUAUAUAUAAUUCCUGAUUAAUUGCUUGCGCAAAUGCCAAGACUUCUAGUUGCCAUUUUC